UACGGAGGGGGGCUAGCGUUGUUCGGAAUUACUGGGCGUAAAGCGCGCGUAGGCGGCUUUGUAAGUUAGAGGUGAAAGCCCGGAGCUCAACUCCGGAACUGCCUUUAAGACUGCAUCGCUAGAACGUCGGAGAGGUAAGUGGAAUUCCGAGUGUAGAGGUGAAAUUCGUAGAUAUUCGGAAGAACACCAGUGGCGAAGGCGACUUACUGGACGACUGUUGACGCUGAGGUGCGAAAGCGUGGGGAGCAAACAGG
rnacentral:rRNA from 1 species